AAUCUGGCCCUCGGGUCCGAGUUGUAAUUUGUAGAGGAUGCUUUUGGUGCGGCGCCUUCCGAGUUCCCUGGAACGGGACGCCAUAGAGGGUGAGAGCCCCGUACGGUUGGAUGCCUAGCCUCUGUAAAGCUCCUUCGACGAGUCGAGUAGUUUGGGAAUGCUGCUCUAAAUGGGAGGUAAAUUUCUUCUAAAGCUAAAUACCGGCCAGAGACCGAUAGCGCACAAGUAGAGUGAUCGAAAGAUGAAAAGCACUUUGAAAAGAGGGUUAAAUAGCACGUGAAAUUGUUGAAAGGGAAGCACUCAUGACCAGACUUUUGCCUGGCGGAUCAUCCGGCGUUCUCGCCGGUGCACUUCGCCAGGUUGAGGCCAGCAUCGAUUUCUGUAGGGGGAUAAAGACUUCGGGAAAGUAGCUCUCUUCGGGGAGUGUUAUAGCCCGUCGUGUAAUACCUUUACGGGGAUCGAGGUUCGCGCUCUGCAAGGAUGCUGGCAUAAUGGUCAUCAGUGACCCGUCUUGAAACACGGACCAAGGAGUCGAACAUUUAUGCGAGUGUUUGGGUGUUAAACCCUCACGCGUAAUGAAAGUGAACGGAGGUGAGAGCCCUUAAGGGUGCAUCAUCGACCGAUCCUGAUGUCUUCGGAUGGAUUUGAGUAAGAGCAUAACUGUUCGGACCCGAAAGAUGGUGAACUAUGCGUGGAUAGGGUGAAGCCAGAGGAAACUCUGGUGGAGGCUCGCAGCGGUUCUGACGUGCAAAUCGAUCGUCAAAUCUGCGCAUGGGGGCGAAAGACUAAUCGAACCAUGCUAG
rnacentral:rRNA from 1 species